CUGACGGGCGCGCUGAUGGAUGCGGUUAGCGGCGAUGCAAUAAGCCGGUGCAAUAAGAUGCCGGCGACCACGACGAUGAUGUACAAGAGACACUCGCAAAAAUAGUGUCGCGUGUGAGUGACAGAUGUACUGAAUGCGGAUCUAUGCGAGCACGACGCACGCUACGACGACGACUACGACGGCAAUGAAGAGACGCGUCAUCCACUGGACGAGGGAGGAGAACGCGGGUCUACCCUCUUUUAUACUUCCACACCCCCACUACCGAGCUGAGCACGCGUUCGCAUUAUACACCACAACAUCGAUUGCGUGGCAGACAGUAUUGCUGAA